UAUUGUGCAAAACUAUUUUAUAUACAAAUGGCACAACGUGACCGCACACAGUCAAUGCACAUGCACACCGUUCAAACUGACACUUCAUUUAAAGCGAGUUGCUGGACUACUAAACCUAAAUGACCUGAGUCUCAGAUAUAGAGGCAGGCAGGCAGGCAUUCCUAGGCUAGAUUCACAGAGGCUGUGUCAUCAGAAAUGGCAUCCUAUCCCUUAUAUAUAUAUAUAUAUAGUGCACUAUAUAGGGAUUCAUUUCAGACAAGCGGAGAUUCUCUCACUGGAGUGAGUGAGCAAAUAUUGCCCAAGAGAAAAACAGCGGCUCAUAAACUGUUAAAGGUCAUUUAAGAGGUUUAGAUGAGAUUUAUAAUAUACAUGGACAGCUACUGUGCGAUACAGGCUAUUUUCAAUCAACGCAUCAAAACAAACAUAGCUUUUGGACAGUGGAGGAGGGCAUUAGACUGACGGUACCAGAUCGGUUUGUGUUGUCUAGGCAACAGAAAUAGAUUUGGAACCGGAACAAGAGAGGAUUCUAGGAGUAAUCAAGAAUUCUCAUCGGUUUGGUUCUAGAAUAUUACCUCAUAAUUUAAAUAUCAAAAUGGAAGCUAUAGAAGGUAAAACAUGUCUAAGAUAUUGACCUGGCCUCUCCCAUACAUGGUGAUAGGCUACGAUACAGUUUACAUCAGUCACUACAGUAGAUACAGGCCACUUUGAAGUAGACUUGGCAAAAAUGUGUUCCUUUAAACCAAUAAUUUCAGUCACUAUCCGAAGACAAUCACCCUCUGGCAGCAAUAUUUCUCAGGAGUCUUUCUGCUUGAUUCUCAAAAAUAUUAUUUUUCAGAAUUCAUAUAGGGAAGGUGGUGAUGAAAAAAAAGGGGGGGGAGAGGCAGAAGACAAGUCUAGGAAAGAGAAAGAACUGAUCUGAAUUAUCUCUCUACCCGUUCCCUUUAGUCCUAACCUUUCAAUGUUUGCAAAUCUGUAAGGUUUAGGUACUGUGGUGGAAUCGACAGCAAGAUAUAUCAAACAUUGAAGGAUAGAGAGCUAGAGAGAGAGAGAGAUGGAAUGGUAACAACAGAACAGGUCAAAGUUCCAUCAGCCAGCCAGUUUGCUGGCCAUAAUGGAGGGCUUCCUCUGGGGGAUGUCCUGGGGCGUGGGGAUGUGGUCCCCGGUGAUCUCUGCCUUCUCAGCCGGCGUCACUGCAGGCAGCUGCUGCUUGUUCUUCACCUUAGCCUUGGCCAUGUUGUAGUCCCCAGAGUCAAAGAACUUUUGCUGCACAGAGAGAAAUAUAUAUAUAUAAAUAACAGAUCAGAUAUGUUACAGCCUUUACAAACAUGUUUGUGUUAUCCAAGAAAAUAAAAACCAAUGCUUAUAAAAAAAGCAUGACAAUGAUUCCAUAACAAAAAAAAUGCAUUGCUGUGAAAGUAAGUGAAUGUAAAGUGUAAAUAGCCUAGUUUGCAUGUUCAGCCUAACUAGAAGCAUCUACAGCUACCAAAGUGUUGUGUUUGCAGGGCACAACCAUUGGUCCAUAUUACCCCUUUCUGAAGCCGUUUCCGGAGCAGGUCAGAGCCUCCAGGUUUGGCUCCAAGAUGAGGGAACCUGGCCUUCAGUUUCACCUCCUCUGCCUUCUCCGGGCUGAGGACUGUGUCAUCAAUCUCCUGUGUUGACAAAACAAUACCGAGUAGAAACACAAAUUAAUGGGGUUUGGUGGGGGGGGGGGGGGUGACAUGUUACCAUCGUUACAGUUCACACAGCAACAAAAUUGUGUUUGUCAAUCUCGAGGUUGACAAGUCGAUUAGCUUAGCUACUGGUUAUGAUUCAAUCAGAUAAAUCAUGGCCUUUGAUUUCAUUCUCAAAUGAGUGGGCUACAUAGCUAGCAACCGGUAAACUGAUAAAGCUAUCACUGUGUUGCUAACUAGCUAACCACUCAUCGUGUAGGUAAAAAAAUAAUGGUUAUUUGCACAGUUCAAUACACGGUGAUGAUACAUUUGAAAAUAAAUUAAAGUUACUAAGUAAACUGCUGCUUUGACAGCCACAUUUGACAUAACCGUCAUGGUUACUAGCAAUUCAUCAUUAACUUAGCUCGUUAGCAUCAAAAUAAUACAACUCUUAACCUCACGGGUUGCCUCCCCGGUGGCAGGCCUUGUUCCUUCAAUCUCCUCAGACAUGGCGAACUAUGGAAAUAUCCAGUUUUCUACUAAAACUGAAGUUUACACCAACAACAGUAGAGACGCACAGCUACUAGCCAGACCGCUUAAACACACAAAAAAAGGCCGUGUGUCUUAGACGCUCCCUCCCUUUCUCUUUCUC
rnacentral:lncRNA from 1 species